CAGGCACCAAAACUACACAGAGAAACCCUGUCUUGAAAAAAACAAAAAACAAACAAACAAACCCUGGACAACGGGCUCAGUUGUUAAGAGCAGUGUGGAGCAGUCAUGAAACUGCGUCCAUCCCCAGUACCCCAAAAGCUGAAUGUGGCCCCAUCUGUCAUCCUGGCACUCAGGGAGGAGGAGGAGGAGGAGGAGGACCAGUUCACCCUCUGCUACAUAGUGAUUUGGAGGCCAGCCUGGGCUACAUGAGACCCCGGCUCAGAAAAAAUAAAACUCUAACUGAAGCCAUACUUGUUACAGAUCUCUGUGACCCCAGUACUUGGGUGGCUGAGGCAGUAGUCUGCUAGGCGACAGGCAUGAGCCACUGUGGCUGGAUUUCUGUUCCUGCAAAGCCAACUGCCCGGAGCCCAUGCCAGGUGGGGUUGGCAUCGGGGUUAAUCUGGAGCAGGUUUCUUUUUCUCCUCCUCCUCCUCCUUUUAUUUAAUUUUUACUUUUGAGACAGAGUUUCUCUGUGUAGCCCAGGCUGGACUCACACUCACAGAGAUCCACCUGCCUCUGCCUCCUGAGUGCUGGGAUUAAAGGUGUGCACCACCACACCCAGCUGGGGCAUGUCUCUAAGGGUGGGCUACUGGGCUGUACUCCAGCUCGCUCACAUUUCUUUGAGUAUCAAGGGACAAUGUGGACGUUUGUGGCAGACUGAAAAUUGAGAGACACAACAGAAAAAGUGGUCUCAAAAACUCUCUGCUGGGCCAUCUACAAGGUAAAAUUUUAAAUAUUUAAACAUAGGAAAUAAACUGGAGCCAGGGUCUGGGGUAUAAACCACCUGCAGAGGGCGCUAGAGACCGCCUGCAGCCUCCAGUCGCCAUGAAUCGGGCACCAGAGUGUCCCAGAGGCUCAGUGCCCAAGGACCGACUCCAGCCAGGCUGGUGCCUCUGCGUCCAGUUCUGCCCUUUGUAGUUGAGUUUGACGGUCCCAUGACAAGAAGAUGACAGGUCUGACAGGACCUGGUACGCCUCCUACAAGUGCUCAAACUGCCAGUGCUCUUUAUUUUUUCCUUGCUUCAGGACAAGGACUCAUGUAGCCCAGGCUGGACCCAAGUCUUCAAGCUGCUAAGGGUAACCUUGAACUCUCCACCCUCUGGCCUGCACCUCUUAUACUGGGAUGACAGGUGUGUGCCACUGUACCCAGCAACGGUGUUUCCAGCGAUUUCUGACCCAAGAAAGCGAGGAAGCAGGAGGCAUCCACUGUGAAUGAGUGUACCGAGAUCAAAUGGACGAGUAAGAGGGGAUCCGUGAGAAACUCUGCUCCUGGCCCGGAAGACACCCGAAACCGCCCCGCCCAGCCAGGGCAGGCCCUCGGGUCUCACCAUGAGGACGUCGAGGAAGCUCCGGCCGCGGCAGUCACAAGUACAUGGUGUCGAUUUGGUUUCUGUAUUUCUGGGUUAUGAUACGUCUCCGGAGUUUUGAUGUCGGCCCUGUGGAGAAAGGAGACAUUAGUCAGGUUGUGAAGGGAAAAAUUCCACACUUACCGUGGGCAACCAGGGACAGGGUCCCAGGGCUGCUCCUGCUGUCACUGAGAGGGGACAGGGGAUGUCCACACGGACUGGCGGAAGAGGGGGCGCUGCCUGUGAUAGAGCUCUUUUUCAAGAUUUAUUUUAUUUUUAAUUAUGUGUCUAUAUGUGGUGUGUGUGUGUGUGUGUGUGUGUGUGUGUGUGAGUGCAUCGUGCAAAGAGGCCAGAAGAGGGCAUCUGAUCCCUUGCAGCUGGAAUUACAGAUGGCUGUGAGCUGCCCAACUUGGUUGGGAUCUGAAGUCCAGUCCUUGGCGGGGAGAGGGGAGGGGGCUCUAACCACUGGGCACCCUCUCCAGCCCAUGGUGGGGAGUUCUCAUGUUAGCUCCAGAGCAUGAAUGCGUCCGUCCUAGGGAAGAGGCAGUACAUGGAGGCCAGCUGGGAGCUGGAUGCAGUUGGUAAAGGCAGCGGUGUCCCAUGUCCUAGCUGGUCCCGCAGACCUAACCCCCAGAGAAGAGUAUGGCCCAGAGGCGCCCUCUGAGGUCCAGGCCAGGCUACUCACCUAGCUCUCCACCAUGGAUGGAAAAAUCCUUCUCCAAGAUGACCCACUUCCGAAUUCUCUGAGCGUCAGAGAUCGCUUCCUGGUUCACGAUGUCUAUGCCACACUGGAUGGCGGUGUAGACCAGCGGGUCCCGCAGCUUCACUAUGUCCGAGACGGUGUUCGCCAUGCUGCCCAGCCCCCGGCAGAAGUUGAUGGCCUCCAGGCUCAGCUUGUCCAGGGGCUCCCCGCUCCUCCGGUCUGUCUCACACUGCCCCAGGACAACCCGUCACCGCGCAUGCUCCCCAGGCAUCCGGACCCCAGCCCAGACCAGAGGCGGCGCCUGGGCUCCAGCCACCUGCAGCCAGCGCCCCGACUCUGGGGCUGGGCGGCCCCGGCUUACCUUCAGCGUCAGCAGCAUGCUCAGGAACUUGGCCUUGUCGCCCACCAGCACGGCGUUGCUGAUGAUGGGGAUCUUCUCCUUCACCAGGGUCUCGAUGGGGAUGGGGGGCACAUUUUCACCACCAGCAGUGAUCAGGAUUUCUGGAACGAGAGCCCAGCUUGGUACAGGGCCCCACCUACCUGAGACCAGGCUAGAGGUUUCUACGGAUUCUUUUCAGGCACCCCAAGUCCGCACCCACGCCUGCUUCCCUCCCAACAUCUAUGUUCUCAGGACCCCACAGGGACAGAAUCUGUCCUGUUAGCUUUUGUCAACUUGCCAAGCCAGGGUCUCCUGGGAAGAUAGAUCUAACCAGAAAACUUCUCCAGCAGAUUGGCCUGUGGGGCAUUUUCUCAAUUAGUGAUCAAUGGGGAAGGCCCAGUCCACUGUGGGUGGUGCCAUCCCUGGGCUGCUGGUCCUGGGUUCUAUUAGAAAGCAGGCUGAGCAAAGCGUGGAGAACAAGCCAGUAAACAGCACCCUCCAUGGCCUCUGCCUCAGCUCCUGCCUCCAGGUUCCUGCCCUGACUCUCUGGAUGAUGGAGUGAGUGCAGCCUGAGCUGUAAGCUGAAUAAACCCUUCCCUCCCCAA